GCGGCAGGCAUAAUACAUGCAAGUUGAACGAGAUAAGUUGUAGCAAUACGGCUUUGAAAGUGGCGCACGGGUGCGUAACACGUAUGCAACCUACCUGAUACAGGGGGAUAGCCUCUCGAAAGAGAGAUUAAUACCCCAUAAAAUGGAGAACCGGCAUCGGUAAAUCAUUAAAGCUACGGCGGUAUCAGAUGGGCAUGCGGCUGAUUAGCUAGUUGGUGAGGUAACGGCUCACCAAGGCGACGAUCAGUAGGGGGUCUGAGAGGAUGUCCCCCCACACUGGUACUGAGACACGGACCAGACUCCUACGGGAGGCAGCAGUAGGGAAUAUUGGUCAAUGGGGGCAACCCUGAACCAGCCAUGCCGCGUGCAGGAAGACUGCCCUAUGGGUUGUAAACUGCUUUUGUACGGGAAGAAAUGUGAGUAUGCGUACUUACUUGACGGUACCGUAAGAAUAAGGAUCGGCUAACUUCGUGCCAGCAGCCGCGGUAAGACGAAGGAUCCAAGCGUUGUCCGGAUUUACUGGGUUUAAAGGGUGCGUAGGCGGACUAAUAAGUCAGUGGUGAAAGCCUGCAGCUUAACUGUAGAAUUGCCAUUGAAACUGCUAGUCUCGAGUACGGCUGAGGUGACUGGAAUGUAACAUGUAGCGGUGAAAUGCUUAGAUAUGUUACAGAACACCAAUUGCGAAGGCAGGUCACUAAACCGUAACUGACGCUGAGGCACGAAAGCGUGGGGAGCAAACAGGAUUAGAUACCCUGGUAGUCCACGCCGUAAACGUUGA
rnacentral:rRNA from 1 species